rnacentral:rRNA from 1 species
AAUAGCAUACUCAUUUGACGUUAGCUGCAGAAGAAGCACCGGCUAACUCCGUGCCAGCAGCCGCGGUAAUACGGAGGGUGCGAGCGUUAAUCGGAAUUACUGGGCGUAAAGCGCAUGCAGGUGGUUUGUUAAGUCAGAUGUGAAAGCCCGGGGCUCAACCUCGGAAUUGCAUUUGAAAACUGGCAAACUAGAGUACUGUAGAGGGGGUAGGAAUUUCAGGUGUAGCGGUGAAAUGCGUAGAGAUCUGAAGGAAUACCGGUGGCGAAGGCGGCCCCCUGGACAGAUACUGACACUCAGAUGCGAAAGCGUGGGGAGCAAACAGGAUUAGAUACCCUGGUAG